rnacentral:lncRNA from 1 species
AUUUCAUUUUUGAUGAUGUUUUUGAUUUUCCGAUGGUGAUUUUAUUUUGUAGUUGGUGGUUUUUCGGGUUUGGGGGGUUGUAAUGGUGGUUUGUAGAUGGUGGUGGUGUGGUGAUUUUAAUUUUUAGACGUUGUUUUGGUUUCCUGGAGCUUAUUUAUUGUUUUCUGGUGGUGAUUUUUUAUUUUAUGACGCUGAUUUUUCAUUUUUUGACGGUGAUUUUCAGAUUUGGGGGUGGUGGUGGUGGUUUGUAAUUGGUGGUGGUGUGGUGAUUUUAAUUUUCUGUUGUUGAUUUUUGGUUUUCUGGCGGUGAUUUUUAAUUUUCCGGUGGUGAUUUUUAGUUUUCCGAUGGUGAUUUUAUGUUUUCU